ACGGGUGAGUAACACGUAGGUAACCUGCCUAUAAGACUGGGAUAACUAUCGGAAACGAUAGCUAAGACCGGAUAACUGGUUUUCUCGCAUGAGAGAAUCAUGAAACACGGAGCAAUCUGUGGCUUAUAGAUGGGCCUGCGGCGCAUUAGCUAGUUGGUAGGGUAACGGCCUACCAAGGCGACGAUGCGUAGCCGACCUGAGAGGGUGACCGGCCACACUGGGACUGAGACACGGCCCAGACUCCUACGGGAGGCAGCAGUAGGGAAUCUUCCGCAAUGGACGCAAGUCUGACGGAGCAACGCCGCGUGAGUGAUGAAGGUUUUCGGAUCGUAAAGCUCUGUUGCCCUAGACGAACAGCAAGGAGAGUAACUGCUCUUUGUGUGACGGUAUAGGAGAAGAAAGCCCCGGCUAACUACGUGCCAGCAGCCGCGGUAAUACGUAGGGGGCAAGCGUUGUCCGGAAUUAUUGGGCGUAAAGCGCGCGCAGGCGGUCAAUUAAGUUGGGUGUUUAAGCCCGGGGCUCAACCCCGGUUCGCAUCCAAAACUGGUUGACUUGAGUGUAGGAGAGGAAAGUGGAAUUCCACGUGUAGC
rnacentral:rRNA from 1 species